rnacentral:rRNA from 1 species
CUUAUGUUAUUUUAUAGAUGUAGGAUAUUUAUAUAAGAGGCUAAAAAAUUUUAAAAAUAGACUAGGAUUAGAUACCCUAUUAUUUUAAAAUAUAAGUAAUAUACUAGAUUAUUAUAAGUUAGUUACUUUAAAUUUAAAAAAUUUGGCGGUAGUUUAGUCUAUUCAGAGGAACCUGUUUUUAAAUCGAUACACCACGUAAAAUUUUACUUGUUUUGUAUGGUUUGUAUACCAUCAUUGUUAGAUAAUUUUUAAAGAAAAAUAAAUUAUUGCCAGCAGUUUAUCUGAAAAAAUUAGAUCAAGGUGCAGCUUAUAAAUAAGUUAAAAUGGGUUACAAUAAAUUUAUAUUUAGACGAAAUAAUAUUAAAAAGAAUAAAAUUAGGAAGGUGGAUUUGAUUGUAAUCUAAGGUUUAGUAAGAUUAGGAGAAA